rnacentral:rRNA from 1 species
AGAUUAAGUUAUUAAGGGCGCACGGUGGAUGCCUUGGCACUAGAAGCCGAUGAAGGACGUUACUAACGACGAUAUGCUUUGGGUAGCUGUAAGUAAGCGUUGAUCCAGAGAUUUCCGAAUGGGGGAACCCAGCAUGAGUUAUGUCAUGUUAUCGACAUGUGAAUUCAUAGCAUGUCAGAAGGCAGACCCGGAGAACUGAAACAUCUUAGUACCCGGAGGAAGAGAAAGAAAAAUCGAUUCCCUGAGUAGCGGCGAGCGAAACGGGAAGAGCCCAAACCAACAAGCUUGCUUGUUGGGGUUGUAGGACACUCUAUACGGAGUUACAAAAGAACAUGUUAGACGAAUCAUCUGGAAAGAUGAAUCAAAGAAGGUAAUAAUCCUGUAGUCGAAAACAUAUUCUCUCUUGAGUGGAUCCUGAGUACGACGGAGCACGUGAAAUUCCGUCGGAAUCUGGGAGGACCAUCUCCUAAGGCUAAAUACUCUCUAGUGACCGAUAGUGAACCAGUACCGUGAGGGAAAGGUGAAAAGCACCCCGGAAGGGGAGUGAAAGAGAACUUGAAACCGUGUGCUUACAAGUAGUCAGAGCCCGUUAAUGGGUGAUGGCGUGCCUUUUGUAGAAUGAACCGGCGAGUUACGAUCUGAUGCAAGGUUAAGCAGCAAAUGUGGAGCCGCAGCGAAAGCGAGUCUGAAUAGGGCGUUGAGUAUUUGGUCGUAGACCCGAAACCAGGUGAUCUACCCUUGGUCAGGUUGAAGUUCAGGUAACACUGAAUGGAGGACCGAACCGACUUACGUUGAAAAGUGAGCGGAUGAACUGAGGGUAGCGGAGAAAUUCCAAUCGAACUUGGAGAUAGCUGGUUCUCUCCGAAAUAGCUUUAGGGCUAGCCUCAAGUGAUGAUUAUUGGAGGUAGAGCACUGUUUGGACGAGGGGCCCCUCUCGGGUUACCGAAUUCAGACAAACUCCGAAUGCCAAUUAAUUUAACUUGGGAGUCAGAACAUGGGUGAUAAGGUCCGUGUUCGAAAGGGAAACAGCCCAGACCACCAGCUAAGGUCCCAAAAUAUAUGUUAAGUGGAAAAGGAUGUGGCGUUGCCCAGACAACUAGGAUGUUGGCUUAGAAGCAGCCAUCAUUUAAAGAGUGCGUAAUAGCUCACUAGUCGAGUGACACUGCGCCGAAAAUGUACCGGGGCUAAACAUAUUACCGAAGCUGUGGAUUGUCCUUUGGACAAUGGUAGGAGAGCGUUCUAAGGGCGUCGAAGCAUGAUCGCAAGGACAUGUGGAGCGCUUAGAAGUGAGAAUGCCGGUGUGAGUAGCGAAAGACGGGUGAGAAUCCCGUCCACCGAUUGACUAAGGUUUCCAGAGGAAGGCUCGUCCGCUCUGGGUUAGUCGGGUCCUAAGCUGAGGCCGACAGGCGUAGGCGAUGGAUAACAGGUUGAUAUUCCUGUACCACCUAGUAUCGUUUUAAUCGAUGGGGGGACGCAGUAGGAUAGGCGAAGCGUGCUGUUGGAGUGCACGUCCAAGCAGUAAGGCUGAGUGUUAGGCAAAUCCGGCACUCAUAAGGCUGAGCUGUGACGGGGAGAGGAAAUUGUUUCCUCGAGUCGUUGAUUUCACACUGCCGAGAAAAGCCUCUAGAUAGAUAACAGGUGCCCGUACCGCAAACCGACACAGGUAGUCAAGAUGAGAAUUCUAAGGUGAGCGAGCGAACUCUCGUUAAGGAACUCGGCAAAAUGACCCCGUAACUUCGGGAGAAGGGGUGCUCUUUAGGGUUCACGCCCAGAAGAGCCGCAGUGAAUAGGCCCAAGCGACUGUUUAUCAAAAACACAGGUCUCUGCUAAACCGUAAGGUGAUGUAUAGGGGCUGACGCCUGCCCGGUGCUGGAAGGUUAAGAGGAGUGGUUAGCUUCUGCGAAGCUACGAAUCGAAGCCCCAGUAAACGGCGGCCGUAACUAUAACGGUCCUAAGGUAGCGAAAUUCCUUGUCGGGUAAGUUCCGACCCGCACGAAAGGCGUAACGAUUUGGGCACUGUCUCAACGAGAGACUCGGUGAAAUCAUAGUACCUGUGAAGAUGCAGGUUACCCGCGACAGGACGGAAAGACCCCGUGGAGCUUUACUGUAGCCUGAUAUUGAAAUUCGGCACAGCUUGUACAGGAUAGGUAGGAGCCUUUGAAACGUGAGCGCUAGCUUACGUGGAGGCGUUGGUGGGAUACUACCCUAGCUGUGUUGGCUUUCUAACCCGCACCACUUAUCGUGGUGGGAGACAGUGUCAGGCGGGCAGUUUGACUGGGGCGGUCGCCUCCUAAAAGGUAACGGAGGCGCUCAAAGGUUCCCUCAGAAUGGUUGGAAAUCAUUCAUAGAGUGUAAAGGCAUAAGGGAGCUUGACUGCGAGACCUACAAGUCGAGCAGGGUCGAAAGACGGACUUAGUGAUCCGGUGGUUCCGCAUGGAAGGGCCAUCGCUCAACGGAUAAAAGCUACCCCGGGGAUAACAGGCUUAUCUCCCCCAAGAGUUCACAUCGACGGGGAGGUUUGGCACCUCGAUGUCGGCUCAUCGCAUCCUGGGGCUGUAGUCGGUCCCAAGGGUUGGGCUGUUCGCCCAUUAAAGCGGUACGCGAGCUGGGUUCAGAACGUCGUGAGACAGUUCGGUCCCUAUCCGUCGUGGGCGUAGGAAAUUUGAGAGGAGCUGUCCUUAGUACGAGAGGACCGGGAUGGACAUACCUCUGGUGUACCAGUUGUCGUGCCAACGGCAUAGCUGGGUAGCUAUGUAUGGACGGGAUAAGUGCUGAAAGCAUCUAAGCAUGAAGCCCCCCUCAAGAUGAGAUUUCCCAACUUCGGUUAUAAGAUCCCUCGAAGAUGACGAGGUUAAUAGGUUCGAGGUGGAAGCGUGGUGACACGUGGAGCUGACGAAUACUAAUCGAUCGAAGACUUAAUCAAUUU